AUCUCUCUAUUUGCAUCUGAGUUUAUCAUAGAUGAAUCUUGUGUGUAGGGUUCUGGAUCUAGUUUUUCACAUCUGCUUGAAUUAAGACAGGAUUUUUACAUCUUUUCAUAGCUGAAGAACCUUGCUCCGCUGGAUCUGACGGGUCAACCCAAUUCUGAGCUUGCACGAGCUAGGUUUGCCAACAGCAGCCCGUCUUGAUCUAGCUUGCUAAUUGAAGACUGUUUUUAUGUAGUGGGGUGAAAAUCCGAAUUAGAUGCGUCUCCUAUUCGAUUAUUAUCUACACAAAAACAUCUCUCCCUUUCUCAAUGUAAAUUUAAGCCUUGCAUUGAUCCUCAUCAUACAUGCACCAUCCUGCAUCACAAGCGGGCCCGUACGAAAUGGUCCCAUCAUGAGCAUGAAGACGACGAAUAAGGGUUAAAGGUAGAUGAUUGACGAAGGUAGCAAGCCCGUUGUUGCUAGCGGGGAGAUAGAUGCCUCCUUUCAAGACAGCCACCGGUUUCAAGCAGCCAAUUGUAUGUGAUUUAAAAUAAGAUCACCAAGGGACAAGAUUGUAGAUUAGAUGCUUAAUCACUCCAUUGCUUGUUGUGGUGUGGUUGCCAGGGGGCCAAUUAUAAUCCUCUUAAUAAAGAAAAGAAAAUCGAUAAAACAAAGCGCGUAGGAGAUGAUCUUCUUAAUAAAGCAAGAGCCUUUAAAGCAUUGGGGAUUGGA